CACGUAGGGGGGCAAGCGUUGUCCGGAUUUAUUGGGCGUAAAGAGCUCGUAGGCGGCUCAGUAAGUCGGGUGUGAAACCUCCAGGCUCAAUCUGGAGACGCCACCCGAUACUGCUGUGGCUUGAGUCCGGUAGGGGAGCGUGGAAUUCCUGGUGUAGCGGUGAAAUGCGCAGAUAUCAGGAGGAACACCGAUGGCGAAGGCAGGUCUCUGGGCCGAUACUGACGCUGAGGAGCGAAAGCGUGGGGAGCAAACAGG
rnacentral:rRNA from 1 species